CACGGGGGGCCUACGGGAGGCAGCAGUGGGGAAUUUUAGACAACGGGGGAAACCAUGAUCCAGCCAUCCCGAGCGUGAGAUGAAGGCGUUGGGGUAGUAAAGCACGUUUUGGCAGGAAGGAAACGUCGCGGGUUAAUACGCCGCGGAACUGACGGUACCUGCAGAAUAAGCACCGGC
rnacentral:rRNA from 1 species